CUACGGAGGGUGCAAGCGUUAUUCGGAAUCACUGGGCGUAAGGGACGCGUAGGCGGGUUGGCAAGUCAGAUGUGAAAUCCUACAGCUUAACUGUAGAACUGCAUUUGAAACUGCUAACCUAGAGUAUGGGAGGGGGAGAUGGAAUUAGUGGUGUAGGGGUAAAAUCCGUAGAUAUCACUAGGAAUACCGAAAGCGAAGGCGAUCUCCUGGAACAUAACUGACGCUAAGGCGUGAAAGCGUGGGGAGCAAACAGGAUUAGAAACCCUUGUAGUCC
rnacentral:rRNA from 1 species